rnacentral:rRNA from 1 species
UACGGAGGAUCCAAGCGUUAUCCGGAUUUAUUGGGUUUAAAGGGUGCGUAGGCGGCGUUGUAAGUCAGUGGUGAAAGUUUGCAGCUUAACUGUAAAAUUGCCAUUGAUACUGCAGUGCUUGAGUAUAGAUGAGGUGGGCGGAAUGUGUCAUGUAGCGGUGAAAUGCAUAGAUAUGACACAGAACACCGAUUGCGAAGGCAGCUCACUAAACUAUAACUGACGCUGAGGCACGAAAGCGUGGGGAUCAAACAGGAUUAGAUACCCUGGUAGUCCACGCCCUAAACGAUGAUUACUCGAUGUUAGCGAUAUACAGUUAGCGUCAAAGCGAAAGCGUUAAGUAAUCCACCUGGGGAGUACGCCCGCAAGGGUGAA